UUGCGGCCGCAUCACUUUGAUACACCUGUUCCCGUUCAAUCACCGGAGUUAAGCAACAUCGAUCCUGUUCAGUACCUAGAUGAGUGACCGCUUCGGAACACCACCUGCUAUA